ensembl:lncRNA
GAACGUGACGUCGAAAAAGAACAUGGCGCUCUGGAGGAAAGGUGUUCCUUGACAGUUAACGAUAUUGAUCAAUAAUUUUUUGGUUUCAGUAUGGAUAUCUACAUGACUUAACCCGUACGCAUCGAACUAUGAUAUGCGGCAAAUGUUACGGUUCAUGUUCUCUUUUUAUGGACGAGGACACUGUAAAUCUGGUAGGGGUUUUUCUAACGUUAGCUGAACCUGUUAGCGUCGGGAUGCUAGCCGAAGCUAACAUGCUAAUGGGUUAUUGCUAAAGAGGCAGACAAUAUGCUUGCGCUGCGCGUUUGUUUAUCCCGACAUUUAUUACUAUGAUACUGGAAGCCAAUGAACCAAACGUAUUAUUUAAAUAGUUGUAAGUCAUUUAUCCAUUUUGACAACUGUUCUGUGGCUAGCGUCUGUUAGUGAGCUAAGCUAGAAGGAUGGAGAAUCGUCAUGGACUUGUUUUGGUUGUCGGUGGGAUCCUUCUCUCGGAGCUGUUACUGUGUCAAGGUGCCCCUAUACAGUACUUCCACAGAUCAGGAGAGAGCAGUGGGAAUGCCUCAUCCCUAUCUCCCUUCCUGCCCCUGGUGGUGUCCCUGACAAUGCUGGUUGUUCUGACGGUGCUGCUGGUCAACUGCGUCACUUGCUGCAAAGAGAGAGAAAUCAACUUUAAGGUAAAAACCACAAAAUGAUGACAUUUGAUGACUUAAAUGAAGGUGUUGUAGUUAAGGUCCAAGAGCUAUUAUUGAGUGUGAUUUUUAAGAAAUGGC